rnacentral:tRNA from 1 species
AGGGGAGUAGCUCAGUUGGUAGAGCGACGGUCUCCAAAACCGUAGGCCGCGGGUUCGAUUCCUGUCUCCCCUGCAA